GCCAGAGGCGAUAGCACGCUGAAUGCACCAGUUACCAUUUUUUCACUGAAGUUAAGCACAGUUGCGCGUGGUUCGUAUCCGGAUGGGAGACAAUCAGGGCUAUCGCCUGCUACUGGCU
rnacentral:rRNA from 1 species